GAGGGAGUUUGCUUGCCCCUUUUCUCCUUCAGCCAUGUAAGAAUGCAGCAAGAAGCUGCCCUGUAUAAAGCAGAGGGCCCUCACCAGGCACCGAAUCUGGUGGCACCUUGAUGUUGAACUUCUCGGCCUUCAGAACUGUGACACAGAGCAUGAGUGGAAUACUAAUACAUUCAAGGGCAAAAUCAGAACGCCAGAAGAUCUCUAAAAGUCUGAAUGAAUCAGCCCGUAUUACAAGAUAAAGUCCAUAAUGGUAAAUGGAAGGCUCUGGUCUUGAUCUAUAAAAUCCAACCACUCAAAUAUGUAGUUGCUGGUAAGAAAAAAAGCCAUAAUUUAAUGUGGUUGCCAAGAAAGCUCAUUAAAUCCUCGGCUGCGUUAAUAGA